AUUGAACGCUGGCGGCAUGGCUAAAACAUGCAAGUCGAACGAUCCCUUCGGGGAGAGUGGCGAAAGGGCGAGGAAUAGAAUCGAAUGUACCCCAAGGUGGGGGAUAGCCUCUGGAAACGGAGGGUAAUACCCCAUGUGCUCUACGGAGGAAAGGUUUACCGCCUUGGGAGCAGCGAUUCUCCUAUCAGGUAGUUGGUGAGGUAACGGCUCACCAAGCCGAAGACGGGUAGCGGGUGUGAGAGCAUGACCCGCCGCAUCGGGACUGAGACACUGCCCGGACUCCUACGGGAGGCUGCAGUAACGAAUCUUCCGCAAUGGGCGAAAGCCUGACGGAGCAAUGCCGCGUGUGGGAUCAAGCAUCUUCGAUGUGUAAACCACUGUCAGGGUCUAGGAAUACUGACCAGACCCAGAGGAAGGGCCGGCUAAUUCAG
rnacentral:rRNA from 1 species